GGAAGACCAAGGGUUCCUGUCCAACGUUAAUCGGGGCAGGGUGAGUCGACCCCUAAGGCGAGGCCGAAAGGCGUAGUCGAUGGGAAACAGGUUAAUAUUCCUGUACUUGGUGUUACUGCGAAGGGGGGACGGAGAAGGCUAUGUUGGCCGGGCGACGGUUGUCCCGGUUUAAGCGUGUAGGCUGGUUUUCCAGGCAAAUCCGGAAAAUCAAGGCUGAGGCGUGAUGACGAGGCACUACGGUGCUGAAGCAACAAAUGCCCUGCUUCCAGGAAAAGCCUCUAAGCAUCAGGUAACAUCAAAUCGUACCCCAAACCGACACAGGUGGUCAGGUAGAGAAUACCAAGGCGCUUGAGAGAACUCGGGUGAAGGAACUAGGCAAAAUGGUGCCGUAACUUCGGGAGAAGG
rnacentral:rRNA from 1 species